rnacentral:tRNA from 1 species
GGAGAGAUGGCUGAGUGGUUGAAGGCAUCGGAUUGCUAAUCCGCUUGUACAAGUUAUUCGUACCGAGGGUUCAAAUCCCUUUCUCUCCC